UUCUGACCAAUAGCCUUGUUAUGAAAGACCCCCAGAGCGGGGAGACCCUCACUCAAGUCUCGGGAUGAUGCGACCCCCCAAGAACUCACACAAGACC
rnacentral:pre_miRNA from 14 species